rnacentral:rRNA from 1 species
CGGGAACCGGAGCUAAUACGGAUAAUAUUUUGAACCGCAUGGUUCAAAGUGAAAGACGGUCUUGCUGUCACUUAUAGAUGGAUCCGCGCUGCAUUAGCUAGUUGGUAAGAUAACGGCUUACCAAGGCAACGAUGCAUAGCCGACCUGGGAGGGUGAUCGGCCACACUGGAACUGAGACACGGUCCAGACUCCUACGGGAGGCAGCAGCC